rnacentral:lncRNA from 1 species
CUCUAUUUAAUCUCAGCCCAGGCACACCUGUUCUCUUUCAUAAUGUUGUAGGAGCGUGGGUUCUCUGCUUGGUUACAGCUGUAGUUGCCUAUAGAUCCUGGCUUGUUCAUGGAUCUCCUGGCUGAGCUGCAGAGCUGCCCUGUCACUGUGGGCAUGUCUGGCAGUCUGUGGAUUAUCUCUCAUCCUGAUCUUGCAUGAGCUGCACUGCUUUCCUGGCUUGUUACUAUGGGAUGGAUCUACCUUGGUGGUGCUCUCAGUUCCUGCUUCUCCAUCCUGCUGGGGUAAGUGUGGUGCCCCCAAACUGGGACGGAUCCACCUGGUGGGACACCUGCACCUCUCCUGAGCUGUCCCACACUGCACCUUCUACACUGCGCUGAGUUGGCCAUUUCAGAACUGGAGCUCCUUCAGCAGGAAGAUGCUGCUGCUGGAGAAGGGGUUAAUUCUGCUCACUGAUUUUUCUUGUUUUACUCUUUUCAUUUUCCCUAACUCCUCAGAGAGAAGCAUGAGCUCAGAUUUACAGAGCGUUAGGGCUAGACCAGGCUCCUCUUCAGGGAAAGCCUGAAAUGCCAGGCAAGGAUUUUACCUCUUUUGUCUGCUUUUCUGCAGAAGAUGCUUGUUAAAAGCAGAGGCUAAAAUUCAGUUGUAGAUCUAUGAGAUGUAGAAAUC